rnacentral:lncRNA from 1 species
CUUCUAAAGAAGAAAAAGACUGAAGACCAGCGGAACCAUAAAGCACACACAACAUGCAUGACAACAAUUUCCCUGCACUUCCACGGGCCAAGUACGUGCACGCAUGGGCCAGAAGCUGAAAGAUGUCCGUGCAUCUCGAAGACGUGCAGAAAAGCAGGUUUAAGUGUGAUACCUUUUUUUUUGUUUGGAAAUAAGCCUUAAUAUUGCCUCA